rnacentral:rRNA from 1 species
GUAGGGUGCGAGCGUUAAUCGGAAUUACUGGGCGUAAAGCGUGCCCAGGCGGUUCUGCAAGUCAGAUGUGAAAUCCCCGGGCUUACCCUGGGAACUGCGUUUGAAACUACGGAGCUAGAGUACGCCAGAGGGGGGUGGAAUUCCACGUGUAGCAGUGAAUUGCGUAGAUAUGUGGAGGACCACCGAUGGCGAAGGCAGCCCCCUGGGCCGAUACUGACGCUCAGGCACGAAAGCGUGGGGAGCAACCAGGAUUAGAUACCCUGGUAGUCCACGCCCUAAACUAUGUCAACUAGUUGUCGGGGAAGCAAUUCCUUGGUAACGAAGCUAACGCGUGAAGUUGACCGCCUGGGGAGUACGGUCGCAAAAUUA